CCUACGGGGGGCAGCAGUGGGGAAUAUUGGACAAUGGGGGGAACCCUGAUCCAGCCAUGCCGCGUGUGUGAAGAAGGCCCUCGGGUUGUAAAGCACUUUCAGUGAGGAAGAACGCCUGGUGGUUAAUACCCAUCAGGAAAGACAUCACUCACAGAAGAAGCACCGGCUAACUCCGUGCCAGCAGCCGCGGUAAUACGGAGGGUGCGAGCGUUAAUCGGAAUUACUGGGCGUAAAGCGCGCGUAGGUGGCUUGAUAAGCCGGUUGUGAAAGCCCCGGGCUCAACCUGGGAACGGCAUCCGGAACUGUCAAGCUAGAGUGCAGGAGAGGAAGGUAGAAUUCCCGGUGUAGCGGUGAAAUGCGUAGAGAUCGGGAGGAAUACCAGUGGCGAAGGCGGCCUUCUGGACUGACACUGACACUGAGGUGCGAAAGCGUGGGUAGCAAACAGGAUUAGAUACCCCGGGUAGUC
rnacentral:rRNA from 1 species